rnacentral:rRNA from 1 species
GUGCCAGCAGCCGCGGUAAUACGUAGGUGGCAAGCGUUGUCCGGAAUUAUUGGGCGUAAAGCGCGCGCAGGUGGUUCCUUAAGUCUGAUGUGAAAGCCCACGGCUCAACCGUGGAGGGUCAUUGGAAACUGGGGAACUUGAGUGCAGAAGAGGAAAGUGGAAUUCCAAGUGUAGCGGUUAAAUGCGUAGAGAUUUGGAGGAACACCAGUGGCGAAGGCGACUUUCUGGUCUGUAACUGACACUGAGGCGCGAAGGCGUGGGGAGCAAACAGGAUUAGAUACCCUGGUAGUCC